UUUGAUGUGGCAUGCAAGAGUCCUGCUAUGAGGCAUUACAAAGUUGGGAGGUAUGCCUUGGGUGACCUAGAGUUCUGAAGUGCCAUAUUGGGCCAUCAUCCUCAUUGCUUUGUCCGCCGUACUUGCUCUGGGGUUGCUGAUGGGUUUAUUAUUUGGGAUUGCAGGCUGUGUUCGUUUCUCAACCCCAGCUUUCAGUGGUACCAGGUACCCGAGCUACAUUACACGCUAUUUAUGGAGAAAUUCUGCAGAUCAACACAUGGACCCAGAGUUUGGAGCACAAAGUGAUAGAGAACAUGUCCAAACUCUGUCCCAACGAGAUCAACAUGAACUGAGCUCUAGACAGCAGUACGGAAAGAAUCCAACCAAUUAGCCUGACCUGCUGUCGACACGGAAAUUGUGAUCUCUCUGUUAAAACUAAUCCACAAUUUUCAGUCCCCGGUAUGCAUUUAAACUGAAAUGAAUUUUACCACUACACAAUCCCAGUUAAGCACGCAUUUCUUUCUAAUCUCUUAAUUGUUUGUUAUUUGCUUUUUUUGCUGAUGAAUUAAAUCCUUAAAUAUGCAUUAGGAAGAAAAAAGUUACAUGACAUACUGUUGUCUCAGUCUAUUGUGCCUAGCGUAAAUCCAUUAGUGAGUAAUAAUAAUGCAUUUAGCAGUAAUUCUGUACUGUAGAUGUUUACAUUGGGUGUCCUGCGUAAUACAGUAUUACCGUCUCGCCAUUAGAACCUGGAAACACCAAUACCUAUGAUAUUAUUGUGACAGAGAGGCAGAUGUAUUAAGCUGGAGAAGGCAUGAGG